rnacentral:rRNA from 1 species
UACGUAGGUGGCAAGCGUUGUCCGGAUUUACUGGGUGUAAAGGGCGUGCAGCCGGAGAGACAAGUCAGAUGUGAAAUCCACGGGCUCAACUCGUGAACUGCAUUUGAAGCUGUUUCCCUUGAGUGUCGGAGAGGUAAUCGGAAUUCCUUGUGUAGCGGUGAAAUGCGUAGAUAUAAGGAAGAACACCAGUGGCGAAGGCGGAUUACUGGACGAUAACUGACGGUGAGGCGCGAAAGCGUGGGGAGCAAACAGG